ensembl:lncRNA
UCAUUCUCCACCCAUAAGAGUCGACCCAAUAGCCAUCCAGAAAACAAACAAUGAGAGCCAUGAGGACGCCGACAUCCACGAUGCAACACUGUACACAGCAGCUCCUCUCAGUGCAGUUGACAUCCUCUGCCGGAAGGAAGCGCUCUCUCUGCUCUCAGACCCUUAUUAAUGAUUUUCACAUUAAUGAUGCUUUGUACUCUACGCGCUCCUCCCUGAUGGCCAUCGGAUGUGUAACGGAGCUGGGAGUCAGACCUGCGCUGUGACACGGCGGCUUCAGGGACGAGAACUUUAUCAGAGUUCAUCAGAAAUUCCCUCAAGAUCCAUCCCACACAUAAGUUCAUUCUUACUUCAUAUGACUUAAAGCUGUGCGGAUGCUGCCUUUGAGUGUUUUUAUGAGACAAUUUUUAUUCCUAUUUGAUUUACUAGAUAGAUGUGUG